GGGGAGGUGGCAGAGCGGUCGAUUGCGGCGGACGGUAAAUCCGUUCCGGGUAUCCGGCACCCUGGUUCGAAUCCAGGCUUCCCCA
rnacentral:tRNA from 1 species